rnacentral:lncRNA from 1 species
UCUGUUCCAAUAUUUGGACUUUGACCUCAGUUCCUGACACAGAUCUCCUAAAUCCUUGGCAAUUUCCUGGAUGAUAGGAUCAUCUUUUGUUCUAAUGAAGCAACUCUUGGUGGGCUCACAGAGAGUCUCAAGACAGGAGCUGGUUGCCAAGGAAACCAACCAUGCAAUAAGAGGAUUAGAAUAUUCAGCCCCACCCCAUGACUUCCAGAGACAGAGGAAAGGCUGAAGGUUGAGUUGAUUACCAGUAGCUCACGAUAUAAUCAUUCAUGCCUACAUAACACAGCUUUCAUAAGAACCCAAUAGGACAGGGUUCAAGGACCCUCUAAAGAAUGCCACACCUAUAGAGGCAUGGAAACUCUUUGCCACUUUCAUCUGACUAUUGAUCUAUAUCCUUUGUAAUGCCUCUUAUAAGAAAUGGGCAGAUUCUAGCAGUGUUUGUGAGAAAAACUGAUGGAUCCUGCAGAUUAACUAUGGACAGCCAAAUAUUGAGUAAAGUGAUGUCUACAACAGCAUCAGCUAUGCCUGAUAUGGUGUUAAUUCACAUUGUGAAGUUCCAAAAUCAGAAGAUGAUACAGAAAGAUUGCUCUGGUUGCCUGGUUUCUGAAGAAAUCGUGUACCCUGUCUGGAUAGUGUCUUACUUCCUAUCCACAAAGUUGUGAAAUAAUCUGGAAUUAAAUGGCAACCUAAACAACCCUAGAGUUGCCUGAACACAGAGCCAUUGCUGUGUUGAUCAUUAUAGCAGUCCUCAAUAGGAAAAAGAUGCCUCCCUGGUCGACCUUCCUGGAAAGUAUGCAUAUCAUUACUGCUUAGAUUUUGUUGGAGAGAAAUCACACUACCAUCAAAGACAACGGGUCAAAAAGAAUGCCGUCCUAAGCUGAGAAGCCAUCUUCCUAACGACAGCCAUGUAAUAUGAAAGGGAAAAACACACUGUUAUUGAAGAACUUAUCAGCUAUGUCACAUCUUCCACACAAAUACUCAGGAAAGUUAAAAGAAAAUUUUACCUCGGACACAGUUGAUGAUUGCUAAAGUCCUAUUGCAUGCUUUAAGAUGCCUUGCGUUUGGUGAAUUGAAGCCUGAUAUGUCAACAUACUCUCUGUAAACACAGCAGCACAGAGGGCAAAGAAACACUUAUCCAGCACCACAGCUAGGACAAAAGGAAUUAUUUUGACAGUAAAUGGACUUGCAGCUUAAGGUUGGUAUGUACCCAAUUGUGACUAAACCAAAAGAAACAAAUCUGGAAACUGAAGUAUCAAUACGUGAAAAGCGUUCUUUUGGUAUUGGGAGUGCCAGUUGUCUUUGUUUCAUGAACUACUUCUCCGUAAUAGCAUGCAGCCAUCUUCAAGAGGUGAGAAUUUCACUUAGCGACUUAAACAGAAGUGUUAUCUCAAGAUAAUAUAAUAUCUGGAGGUAAAACAGCAUCCCCAGGAUAAACAGGAAUACUACACUCUUCCUUAAAUAACAAAAACUGCGGCUGGGCGUGGUGGCUCACACUUGUAAUCCCAGCACUUUGGGAGGCCGAGGUGGGCGGAUCACGAGGUCAGGAGAUGGAGACCAUCUUGGCUAACACGGUGAAACCCCGUCUCUACUAAAAAUACAAAAAAUUACACAGGCGCGGUGGCGGGCGCCUAUAGUCCCAGCUACCCGGGAGGCUGAGGCGGGAGAAUGGCGCGAACCUGGGAGGCGGAGCUUGCAGUGAGCCAAGAUCGCGCCACUGCACUCCAGCCUGGGCGACAGAGCAAAACUUCGUCUCAAAAAAAAAAAAAAAAAAAAAACUGGAAAAUUUGUUCUAAACAGCUUCAUGGGAAGAGAUAAUGAGCUAUGCAGCUCAACAUAAUUCAACAAAUAUUUGUUGAGUAUCUAUACUAGAACCUGUUCCAGAUGUUUGAAAUACUUCAGUGAACAUACCAUUUUUUAUAGAAAAAAGACCACUUUCUUUACCUUUGUGGAGCUUGCAUUCUAUCAGUGGGAGACAUACACUCCACCAUUGUUACACUAAGUAAGUAUAAUAUUUAGCCAAUUCUUAUAAAUUGUAUGUUACCUCAGCAUCCAUUUUGAAAAUAGGUUUAACUUGCACAUACCAGAAGCUUGGCUUAGUGACCCUCAAAGGAGUUUUCACUUCCUCCAAAGUCCUAUAUGUGGUCGCCUCCGAUAUCUGCCGUAUACAACUGUCUCCUGGUGACCACCUCCCUGUGAGACAGCAGAUACAACCUACCCCUCUGGCCUUCUCACCUCUCGUGGACUGUGUAGAUGCUGCAGUGGCCCCUGCUCAGUUACAGUGUGACUAUUGGACUUGUUCCUGCUUGCUAUAAGCCCACUGUAUUAGUCCAUUCUCACGCUGCUAAUAAAAACGUACCUGAAACUGCCUAAUUUAUACAGAAAAGAGGUUUAAUUGACUCACAGUUUUGCAUGGCUGGGGAGGCCUCGGGAAACUUACAAUCAUGGCGGAAGGGGAAGCAAACACAUCCGUCUUUACAUGGUGGGAGGAGAGAGAAGAAUGAGAACUGAGUGAAGAAGGAGGCCCCUUAAAACCAUCAGAUCUCCUGAGAAUGAACUCACCAUCAGGGGAAUAGCAUGGGGGGGAAAGGCUGCCAUGAUUCAAUUACCUCUCACUGGGUCCCUCCCACUAUGUGUGAGGAUUAGGGGAACUACAAUUCAAGAUGAUAUUUGUAAGGCCGAGCAUGGUGGCUCACGGCUGUAACCCCAGCGCUUUGAAAGGCCAAGGCAGACGGAUCUUCUGAGGUCAGGAGUUCAAGACCAGCCUGGCCAACAUGGCAAAAACCCAUCUCUACUAAAAAUACAAAAAUUAGCCAGGUUUGUUGGUGGACGCUUGUAAUUCCAGCUACUUCGGCGGCUGAGGCAGGAGAAUCGCUUGAAUCCGGGAGGGAGAAGUUGCAGUGAGCCAAAUGGUGCCACUGUACUCCAGCCUGGGUGACAGAGCAAGACUCCAUCUGAAAAAAAAGAAAAAAAAGAAAAAAUGAUAUUUGGGUAGGGACAGUGACAAACUAUAUCACCCACCAAUUAAAACUUCCCUUGGAAACCUGCUUAGAUAAUGCCCUUAGCCCCCAAAAAAGGCUUCAACUCACAGGUCUUUCUGCCUUUCUUACUCUCUACCUGAUGGUUGAAUGUGUGUGCUAUAUGGCUUCCCAUUUCCUAUUGUCCCUGCAAGACUUGCCCUUUUUUCUCUGGAUCUGUAAGUAAUAAACUGCUUCUGUUAUUUCAUGUGUUUUCUUGAGUUGCCUCCUCUGUGGCUCACCUGAGCAACACACCAAAACCUAUCUUCUUUCCUAGUCAGAGUGCUCCUAGAGAGUGGCUAUGGUAGAAAUAAACUGGACACAAGUCAGACAAGAACCACGAAAAUGUCUGCCCAUAUAAAUGAGUUUCCUGUGAAAGGGACCAGUGAUCACAAAUUGGAUACUUAAAUAUUAGAAUGUAUACAGGGAUAAAGAAGCAUUCUGUGAAAGGCACAUUGUCAUAGGUACAACCAAAUACAAAUCCUCUGGAGCCCCAUCAGGGCAUGGCCAGAGUUGAUAGCUAAUCUCCUAAAAGAGAUCUUGAGACACACACAGGAAAAAAGCACUUUGGCAAAAUACAAUCAUAGCAAGAUUAUGUUAUGUAUAGGCAUUGGAAGUAUGGAUUAUGAUUUUAAAAGUGAGACUGUGGUAGGCCUCAGUAAGAAGAGCACAUGUGAGCUAGUGAGUAGAGGUAAAAGCAUUUGUUAUAAAGAUAUCUGGGGAGACAACCAGUACAAAUGCCGUAAAGUGAAAGUGUGGCUGGCAUGUUCCAGGAAUUUCAAGAAAUACUCCUCCCUCCGUGCCCUCUGUGAUAUGAAGGCCAUGAGUUAUCGGGAGAGCAGAAGAUGAGGUUAGAGAAGAAUUAGAGGCCCAACCACACAGAGGGACUUGUACCAAUGUAAGGAUAUUGUGUUGUUACUUUUAGUUACAUGGAAACCUAUAAGCAGGAUUUUGAGCAGAUAAGUGACAUGAUUUCACAUAUGAUUAAAGAAUCACUCCAGCUGCUCUGCUACAAAUAGACAGCAUGGGGGCAAAGAUAGAGCACAGAGACAGUGAGGAAGCCACUGCAGAAGUCUAGACUAGUAAUGAUAGAGGCUUGGGUUAGAAUGAUGAGUAGUGAGAUAUCAAUGAGAUAGUUAGAAGUAGUCAGAGUCUGUUUACAUUUUAAAGGCAGAGACAGAAAUGUUUCUGAGUGUCUGAUGUGAAGGAAAAAUAUACUUAAGUAUAACAUCACAUGCCAUUUGUGUCUGAAGGCAUGAAAAGCUGAAAUUGUCAUCAACUGAAUUGGAAAAGGUGGUAGGUGAAGUAGAUUUUGGGAGAGAUAGGAAGGAUUCAGUAUUAGAUAUGUGGAAUUUGAAAUGUCUAUAAGACACUCUAGUUGAGAAGUUGAGUAAGUAGUUUGAUUAAUCUGUAUUUUCAAGAGAGAGGUCCGUAUUGGAGAUGGUAUUUGGAAUUCAUUGGCACAUAAGCCAUUUGAUUGAAUGAGAUAACCAAUGAGAUAACCACUGCAGUGGAGAAGUAGAGGAGAGAUUUGAGGAUUGGCUCUUGGAAGUCAAUAUUAUUGUGUAAGAUAUAAAAGAAGAAAAAGAAAGAAGACAAGAGUUAGGAAAGCAAAGAAGAAGAGUAAUAUCCUGGAGGCAAAAUGAGAAAAGUGUAUCAAGAAGGAGAUAAAGGUGGGCUGCAUUAUAUGGUUCUGAUGGGCAGUGUAAAAUCAAAUAUUAGAUUUAGCAAGGUAGAGGUCAAUGAUUACACCAAGAGCACUUUUGCUAGAGUGGGGAUAACUGUAUGAUCAGUGUAGCUUCAUGAUAGGAUAUGUAAAGGAAAUUUGGGAAUAGUGUAUCUACACAACUCUUUCAGGGAGGUUUACUGAAAAGGGAAACAGAGAAGUAGAUUGGUACUUAGUAAAGGAAAUAGGAUCAGGUCAAGAUAAAUUACAUUUUUAAAUGAGAGAAAUUUCAGUUCAUUAUUAUGCUGAUGACAAUGACCUGAUGGGAUUGUUAAUUUUAUGUAUCAACUUGGUGAGUGUAUUGUCCACAGUUGCUUGGUCAAAUACCAGUCUAGAGGCUGUUGUUAAGGUAUGUUUUAGGCGUGGUUAAUAUUUAAAUCAGUAAAUUUGUAUUAAAGCAGAUUACCCUCCGUAAGUGGGGUGGACCUUCUCCAAUCAGCUGAAGGCCUUAAGAGAAAAAAUCACUGAGGUUCCACUAAGGGAAAAUAAUUCUGACUUUAGAUUGGCCUUCAGACUGAAGACUCCAGCAUCAACUCUCCCCUGAUCUCCAGCCUGCUGCUCUUCAGCAUUCACACUUGCCAGUCCCCACAAUGGUGGGAGCCAAUAUGGGGGAUACUGGCAUUCAGUUUAACACCCUGCUCUACAGUGAUUAAGGAGCAGUUAGAGGAUGUGGUAUAGAUACCAUACAUGCAUAGAUUUAGUGACUGGAAUCUGUAAGUUUGCUUUUGGUGGUGGAAGCCACAAUUUCAUCAGCUGCAACUUAGGAAUAGGAAGCAUGGAGGUUUGGAGAGAGGAAAGGACGGCUAAUAAUUAAGAUUUAAUGUGCUAAGGAUAUUUAGUAUGGUUGCUAAAAUGCAUUAAGUUUCCACUUGAAGUUCACGUCAAAAAUCUUCAGUGAAACCUGUCAAUCUGGUUGUGUAUUUUUCUCCAUUCAUGUCAAACCCCAUGGGUGCAGAUAAAAAACAGCUGGAGAGUUAGAUUUAAUCAGAGUGUGGUUUUGUCAUUCAAGUAAAAAGAAACAAGAGAGACCAUGGGAAUCAAGUGUGUGAUCAUGGAUUUCAACUGGGUAAAAAAGGGGGCAAAGACUUUAGAGGAUAAAGAACAGUGAAAUAACAGAAUUAAAGGAUUUAUGAUUCUUGGGGUCUGGGUUAGAUAGUGAACAGUAAAUACAGGAAACCAGAUAAUGUUAUGUCUUUUCACAAAGGGACCGUAUUUUUUAAAAACAGAGUGUUCUUUUAAACCAGUACUCCUCAUGAAAUAAUGAGAAAGAAAGUCUUAAAAAGAAAUUUCUACAAAAAAAAAUUCUAUAGUGAUACAAGGAUUGCCACCAUGUCCAAUUGUAGGCCCUAGAAAACUAGUCUGAACCAUAUAAAUACUAUUUUUUAUUUGUACUACAAUGUAAGUAAUUCUGGUCCAGGUGUCCCAAUCAUGUAGACGGGCCAGAGGCACUGGAUCACGGAAAUAUGUGCCCACAUGUUUAGAGCAAAUUGCUUUGUUACUUGGCAGGAAUCAAUAAGGAAAGCUGGAAUAUUCUUUUUUCUCACAGCUAUGUCAUUUCUAUAUUGCCUGACCUAAAGGAAAAGAAAAAAAAGGGCCAAUGUCUUCAUUACAAGAUAGACUCCUGAGAAUGCUUAUUCCAGCAAAGAAGAAGAUCUUCCUAAAAAACAAGAUUAUAAGUCACAGUCUGUAAGAAAAGAAAAAGUAAAACAAGAUAGACUCCUGAGAACACUAAUUCCAGCAAAGAAGAAGAAGAUCUUCCUAAAAAACAAGGAUUACUCAAAGUUAUUGAGAAGAAAUACAGGUUCUGGUGGACAAUUUCCAGUCUGGAGUCUGCAUUUGGAGAGAUUCUACAGCACAUGCAUGAAUGAGGAGGAGGUGGUGUCCCAAGGGCAUUUAUAUCUUUGCUCUGUAUUUGGAGGAGAAUGGAGAGUUCCAAAUGAUCAGAGCUUGCACAUUACUAGAUCCCCUUUCUAGGGAAAAUGCUGCGAUCAAUUGAAGUUGUCAUCCUCAUGAAGCUCAUACUGUUUUGCCUGAAAAAUAAAUGUAAAUGCACAUUCUUGGUCUUAAAAUACAUAGAAACAAUACUUUUUUCCCUGCUACUAGCUUUGUAAGAUAAAUAGGGUUCAUGUUUAACAUAUAUACUCAAUACUUGGGCAAUUUGUCUUCAUCUAAUGAAUUAUUAUUUACCAUUUUUAAAUUAUCUGCUCAGAUUACAAGAUUCUUUUUAACAAUAACCAAAUUUUAAUUAGUAAAACUUUUGGUCACUUUAUAUUUUCUGAUGUGCAUAUUACAAUAAAAU